rnacentral:rRNA from 1 species
CGGAUGAACGUUGGCGGCGUGGAUUAGGCAUGCAAGUCGGACGGUAGAGCUUUAUCGUAAGAUAGAGUUUGAGAGUGGCGAACGGGUGAGUAACACGUAGGAAUCUACCCUUAAGACGGGGACAACCCAGGGAAACUUGGGCUAAUACCGGAUGAGAGUGCGAGAGAUUGCAUUUAAAAGGAUGGCGAAAGUUGUCGCUUAGGGAUGAGCCUGCGGUCUAUUAGUUAGUUGGUGAGGUAAGAGCUCACCAAGGCGAUGAUAGAUAGGCGGCCUUAACGGGUGGUCGCCCACACUGGGAUUGAGAUACGGCCCAGACUCCUACGGGAGGCAGCAGUGGGGAAUUUUGGACAAUGGGCGCAAGCCUGAUCCAGCAAUGCCGCGUGCAGGAAGAAGGCCUUCGGGUUGUAAACUGCUUUUGUCAGGGAAGAAAUCUUCUGGGUUAAUACCUCGGGAGGAUGACGGUACCUGAAGAAUAAGCACCGGCUAACUACGUG